rnacentral:lncRNA from 1 species
AAAGGAGUGUGUGUGUGUGCGCGCGCGUGUGUGCGUGUGAUGUAAAAUUCUGUAGGAGCCAUGUUAAGAAGUAAAAAGAGACAGGUGUAGUUAAUUUUGGCCAUAUAUUUAUUUAAACCAAUGUAUAUAGAUAAUUAUUUCAAUAUGUAAUCAACAUUAUCAAAUUACUGAGAUAUAGAAUUAUCACUUUUUCAUUACUUUUGUAUUGUCUUUGGCAUUGAUUAUGUUUUACACUUUCAACACAUCUUCAUUUGAUGCUAAAUUCUCAUUGGAAAUACAUGCUCUGUAUUGAGAUUUCAUAAGACACGGCUGAAAAAGUAGAUCCAGUUGGAAAAAGAGAUUCACAUAUCAAAGUUGCUGCAAACGUGGUUCAUAGGUUUCUAACAACGGAAUCAAGUAGCUUUUAAAGUCGAUUAGAAGUAAUUAAAAUUAAAUCCAUGGAGCCAAGCAUGGUGGGGUACACUGUACUCACAGCUACUGGGGGCUGAGGCUGGAGGAUCACAAGUUUAAGGCCAGCCUGGGCAACCCAGGGAGACCCUGUCUCUGAAUAAAAUUUCAAAUGGGCCAGGGUUGUGGCUCAGUGGGAAGCACCUGCCCAGCCUGGGCGAGGCCUGGGUUCCGUCCUCAAAACUGAGGACUCAUUCAUCAAAUUUCCCUCCCCUCAGUCAUACCAGCUACAGCUUUGAGUGCUUGGUAGCAGUGUGUUUGUGGCUGCCACACUGGGCAACGAAGCUACAGGACACCAGAGGGAAUCAGCCCAGCCUUUCCCUGUCUUUGAAUACAUCAUCAAAAAACAUGACAGAUGCUAUCCAAUAUAAUACAGAUACCGUGUCUAAAUUUCACUUGGGAGAAAUGUGGUCAUGCUGUAGAGUUUACUUGACAAUCUAAUUGUCUCUGCCUGCAGUUAUAUUUUGGGUGUUUUCCUUCCCAGUUUGUAGGCCUCUCUGAUCUCCAUGAGAGCUGUGUGGCUGAUCUGCUGAAGCUCUCCUGCUAGUGGGGAUGUGCUGGUUAGUUAAUUUCCCGUACAGAAAGUGAGUGCUGUGCCCUGGCACCCUCCCGAGAGGCCGUGCCAACUCUUGCCAUCCCUGUCCUGCAUCUGUGGAUGCUCCUGAGCCAGGGUCAUAAAAUACAAGUUCAAAGCAGCCUCUGGACCCAGGAAAUAGCAGCCGUAGGGGGAUCGGGGCUGGCAGCGUGGCCGUGGCAGGGCUGGGUCUCGAGCAGCCCGUGGUGGUGUCCAGUGGCCACGGAGGAGCUGGCCGAGGCCUCCCAGAAGGUCACCUCCCCAGCUCCGUUGCUGCCAGCCCGCGCUGGCUGGGGAUCGCCAGGCCUUCAAUGGGGCGUCGUGCCACGCCGCGCCCCGGUGAGCCGUGUGUGACAUUUGUAUCCAGCAUUGAAUUCACUCUGCUCCACUCGCUCACCCGCUCGCUCUGAGGCUCACUACAAUCUCACCGCCUCCACCUUCUGCUGAGACCAGGGAGGAGGUGAUUCUGCCGCGGGUGGAAAUGGACAGCGCUGUCAGGCAGGCUGGCAGCAGACAUGGGCUCAGGGCUCAGCUGGAGUCGCAGCACAGGACAGAGGUGUGAGGCCCUUUGGGCCAGUGACCCGGGGCACCUGCAGGCCCAGAGCUGGGCAGCCCUCGCAGGCAGGGCUGGGGCCCAGGGGCCUCAGGGGCUGCACCCUCCUUGUGUUCACUGGGGACAAAGCCCGGGCCGGAGCAGCCUCUUCCUCCGUUUCUAGAGCGCUGUCCCGUCCCGUGACCAUCCUCUCCCACCGGCAGCCCCAGCUCAAUUCCAUCGUGAGCGCUGACAACAAACCUUUCUGCAGAUGCUCCCGCUAUUUAUUGUUUAAAAAUCAAUUCAGAUGCUUGAACGUUGUUUAUUUUCCUGCCUUUUACGACCCCUCUGUCUGCGCAGGGACAGGGGCUGCUUUGUGUGACCAAGACACAGGCGGCCGAGGAGCGAACAAGUCCUUUCCUCCCUCUCGGGAGGAACCAUGUGGCUUGGCACUGGUUUCGGUGUUGCCACAUUGUGGAAGCAAAGCAAAGGGUGGCAGUGGGAAGCGGGAGGCGAGCGGAGCUUAGCUCUGCUGUGUCAGGGCGUCAGCCGGCACACUCAUCACGGUGUCACUGUCCCCAGUGACCCACCUGUGUGGCACACCCGUGUGGGCAGGACCAGGACUCAGUGUCCUCGGGAGGCUGCCCCCCCACCUGGCACAGGGCAUGGGAGCCCAUCGGGGUGCGGAACCUGCCCUGACCCACGGGUGUGAGCGGCACGCAUGUGCAAAUGUUCAAUUCGUGAGUAAGGAAUGCUGGUCGGGUACACACGGGCUAACAAGGUGUCCAUCACAGGGGAGCGCUGCCCUGACUUAACACGGAAAUCUGCUGAAAAUCUUGGUUUCUGGUGGUAGUGGUGCUGGUAAUUUGAACCCAGGGCUACAUUCCCAAUCUAUUUUUAUUUUUUAUUUUGAGACAAAGUCUAAGUCUCUAAGUGGCCCAGGCUGGAUUCAAACUUGUGGUCCUCCUGCCUCAGCCUCCCAGAGUGUGGGUUACAGGCGUGUGCCAUCAGAUCUGGCUCCAUUAUUUUCAGUCUCUGAGGGUCCUGGGCUGGGUCCCCCAAAAGAAUAAGGCAGUAACCCAUGUGACCAAAGAGCACUGUGUGGAUGCUUUAGGUUCCUGGUCCGGGCUGGUGGGCAGCAUCAGGCACUGCAGUCACCCCCUCUCGAGGGGAUCCACGACAGCAUCGCCACGAAGAUUACACACAGGCCUGCGUGCCUUUGUCACGGGGUCACGUCCCGCUGGGGUCGGGGCCGGCAUGGCUAACUGUGGCACCCUCACGUUCAGACACAUGGUCACCCACAGGCCACAGUCAUGAGUGCCGGCUUCCCCCUCACCGCCCUAGAAGACUCCAAGUCUGGAAAGGGCUCCCAGGAAUGGCCCUGCAGCCCAGAUCUCCACGGUAACGGGCAGAAUCUCUCCAGGUCCUUCCUGACCGCAGGGCACUGUGGCCGUGGGCGCCAGGCAAGCACGGCUCUGGUUCUGUGCAGUCUGCAGAAAGCGCCCUUGUGGGGACGGCCAGACGCAGACCGCCGCUCCAGCCAGGCCGCCCUGUGCCGAGGCCGCCGGGCCUGCUGCUGGGCAGGGAGGCGCCAGCAUCAGCCCUGGCCGAGCUCUUUCCCAGCCCUGGAUUAUCAGCCAAACUCUAUCUUUGUUCCAUUUGUCAAAACACCAUUGUUCUCCCUCCCCUGUCAAGUUUCAUUUCUAUUGUUCAAAAAAUCCAAAGUCAGGGCCGCCUGGGUGGCUGGAGGAGGCCUCAUCCGAGGUCGGCAGGCUCGGAGGCCACCUCCUGCCAGCCUCCGGGCUCCGGCUCAGCUCCGCCACGAGAGAGAGCAAUUCUGUCGCAGGACCCAGACAGCCGGGUGUGGGUUCCUAAGCCAGGGCUGCUCUUCUCCCAGCUGCAGUCUUCACAGAAAGCAGCGAGCUCGCUAAGGACAGAACACGUCACUGUUCCCUUUCUUUCUCCUUUCCUUUCCUCCUUCCUCUCUCCUUUGACACGGUCUCACUGUUGCCCAGAUUGGCCUUGAACUAGUGAUGUGCCUGCCUCAGCCUCCUGAAGUGCUGGGAUUACAGGCACAAACCACCAUGCCUACUUAUCACAUUCAUUUUCUAACAGAGCAAUCUGGUGGAUCUGCUUUUUAGAGUCUGUGGCUUCAAGCGUUACGUGCUGUUUGACGUCCUCAGGGAGGUCAGCAAGUUUCAUACGCAGCUAGGACAACUAGCUCCGUGGGACGUCUUUGUUGUUUUGUUUGUCACUGUGCCAGGGAUUGAGCCCAGGGCCUCUCGUGGGCUUUACCAGGGCUCUGCCCCAGGCUAGGCCCAGCCCUCUCCCUGGCACAGAUGCACGAGGGGUGCUUAGCAGCUUUCAGCAGGGUUUUCUCUGAGGGUCAAUAAAAUCAUCUAAGAAAACACAGCCCCAUCCCCUGGGUGUCAUCACAGAGCCAGGCCGUGGCAUAGCCGGGCCUCCCAGACAACCCUGUGCUUUAUUCCUGCCUGCUGAGGGCAGAGCCAGGGUCCCAGCGUCCAGGCACGGCCUGGGUACUCGCACAACUCCACCUCCCGUCCAGUGCCGCUCAGCAGCACUCCAGUCUGGGGAGAGGAGUCGGGGGUCACCCGGGUUCCCUGGAGCAGCAGAUCCCCCGACGCCCCUGCUCGUUGCUGCUGUUCACUGUAAUUAACAAAAACUUCAUCCUGAGGACGGAGCACGGCCUCUGCGCCGAUGUGACCUGGACAGGCAGUGGCAGCUUCAUCCCGCUUGGGCCCAGCUCUCGCUGAGACCUGGCAAGCAGUAGGUGGCCCAAGGACAGGAGGACAUGCUUCGCCUGCAGGGGUGCCUGCCCUUCAGCCCCGACCUGAGCUACUGCCACGUCCUCCCUCCCGGACUCAGAGGCCCCCUCGUCCAGGGCCAGCAGCAUUCCAGGUGGCUGGACGCAGCCCUCCUGCCUCAGCAUGCUGGGUGAGGGCGGGGUGAGGACCACUGCAGGGCGCUGGGGCAGCAGGAGAGAGGGCAGGACACACAGCACUCGGCCAGUGAUGCCACACACCAGAGCAAGCGACCGCUGAGGAGGAGCAGGAGGAGCAGGAGGGGAGGAGCUCUAGUUAGACAAACUCACCGAAGAGCCAGCGGGGCAGCCUGAGAGCGAUUCUAUUCAAUGCUUUAAAAUACUUCACUUGUCGGGUGAGGUGGUGCCCAUCUGUGACCCCAGCACGAGAGGCUGAGGCAGGAGGAUCACUGUGAGUUUAGGUCCAGCCUGGGCUACAUAGUGAGUUCAAGGCCAGCUUGAACUACAUAGAGACCCUGUCUCCAAAAAACACAGGAAAGAAAAAGGUCGUAUGUAACAGUCUCUUUAACAACGCUGGCUAACUUUCUCAGUCAGAUCAUUGCUGUUUCUCACCCAGCACUUGUUCUGUUUUGAUUGUACAAUAUUUUUCUCAGUCCACACCUCAGACUGGGGUCUGGGCUCACCUAGGACUUUUGUCCUGGGACCUUUUAAAGUAAGCUGAGGCAGUGGUUUAGAAAACGAUUCUUGUUUGUGGACAGAGAAACAUUAAACCGAGGGGGGCUACACACUGGGGUAGGCACCCUCCGCCUCGGCCCGUGGGAGCCAGGUGGGAGAAGCCCUGUUUUCCAUGCCUGCCGUCCUGGCGGGCUCUCUGGAGAGGUCCGAGCUGUCUGCAGCUCAGUGACACUUGGGCCCGUGCAGUUGACUCCACCAGCACCAAACAGGCAGCAAAGCUUGGUGCUGAGGGGCUCUGUGUGGCUUCCCAUCACCUUCCUUCGACUGCUAAAUGCAGCUGUGAAGGUUUGGGCAGCGGCUCGAGUCCCUCCCAAGCCAGAAGAACGGCCCCUGCAGGCGUCUCGCUGCUGACCGAGGAGGCGGAACAGCACACGCAGGUCCUGGGGCCCAUCAGGCUGUCCGCAGACUCAGUGAGGCGGCUUUCAGCUCCAGGAGCAGCACAGAGAACGGGGGACGUGGGGUUUUCCAAGGACAGGCCCGACAGCAGCCACAGUCAGUCUGUGAACACCUGAGAACCAGCUCGGCCGCGCAGGUGCUUGGCUGGGACGGAACGAACGACGGAACGACUGGACACUGUCCCAGAAAGACGGCUCCCUCCCCAGGCCUGGCUGGGUUGCUCCGGCCGGGUGUGUGGGUGUGAUCUUGGGGAAACUCGGGCAACUAGCAACAGGAGAGCUGGGGCGAGCUGCUCUCCUGUCCCUCAAAGCUGCCACUGCUGCAGGCUUCCGAUGCAGCCUGGCCAAAGGCGCUUGCACAGAUAGGGGCACCUGGGUGGCUUCAGAGGGUGCCAGGCGCGUUAGGAGCGGGGAGGGUGAGGAGCUGCUUGGAUCCCACUCAAGACGUGAGUUCUGUACCGGCGAUGCCAGCUGUCCUACUCUGACCUUCUGAGGACAGCAUGGUCCUCUGGUAGUCACGAGUGACCCUGCUCUGCCUCGCUCUCCAUGCACAGGUCCCACCUGCAAGGAGCAGGAGCCCCGUCCCUGUUGGAAACCGAUUUCCAAUCACAGAGCCGCACGGGCCCAGGUUGGCAUCAGGCGCCUAGCCCACUGCUGAUGGACGUGAGGAGAUCGGCCUCCGUGAAUGCAAUCGCCUGUAAGGAAAACAGGGCAAACCGGAGUGCACAGCUGUCUGCGCUUAUCCGGCGAGAAGGAUACACUGUUUGUCUGGGCCGGGGCUAAGUUGUCCCAGCUAACUUCAAGGUCCCAAAGCAGUCCCAGAUUCCAGAUCCUGUGGAUUUAUCACACCCCCGGAGGACUGGGCUUUCCAGCCUCUGAAUGGAUUAUCCUGUCCCGUUAGAGAGGCGCAUCCUUUCCAAAAGAUAACAUCUUGCUUCUCCAGCCUGAAUUUCCCUGCCUUCCUUCAAGCCACAAUUUGUGAAAACAAUGUGUGAGAACACAGGACAAUGGGAAGUCCUCCGGCGGGAAUUCUGCAAUAAAUAUGUCAGCUCCAUAAACUAGCCGAUGAUAUUUAUUUGGUUCUUAAGAAGGAAGUAUCGGGAUACGGUAAAUCACGAUCAUUUUUCACCGUCUUGGGUUUCCCGUACGCAUAGAUGCUGGCAGACCUUCUCGAUCGCACUAAUUUAUUUGUAAAUCAUCAAAGGAAGACAUAAAAUAUCCGUCUCCAGGCCAGUGCCUGCGCAGGGAAGGGCAGCCGCAGCGGCGGUAUUUUCCUCGGCUAGAAGUAAACAUGUCACACGGUGACGAGGGCUGUCCCUCUCCUGGCUGAACUCGGGCUGAGACGGUCAGCAUGGAGGGACUGCAGCAGCCCCUUCUCACAGCUCGUUCCCUGGCUCGGGAGAGGACGGCCUGCAGUGUGACACAGAGCCUGGGUCAGAACCAUAUUUCUUACUGGUGAUUCUGGCGCUGCUGUGCAGUGACGGCAGCGCUCUGGAAUUCUCUGGCCCGUGGUGGCUUGCGCUGCUCAGUAGGCACUGCUUUCCAGUUCAAGGUGACAGAAAACCGAGUCCCAGCGAAUGUGCAGGGUUAGAAAAUGGUGUGGGAGGGGGGGCAGAGCCCGUGCACCCCCAGUCCACCGCAGACUGGCGCUCGGGCGGUCCUGGCCACGUGGAAGGCGAUGCUGCCCUGGUCUUCGUGGCUUCAGGACCUGGGGUGUGGCACCCGACAGAGCUCUGCCCUGCUUGCUUGGCCCUGGCCUGCUCCCAUUUUCUAGUCAGCUCGUUUAUCCCCCUCCCUGGGGGGCUGCAGCCUGCGCUGGGCUCACUGCCCCAUCCUGGGGCAGGGGCUAGGUGACCGGGCUCCCCGGGCAGGGUGGGGACCUGGCCCAAGCCCCCUCCCCACCGCACUCAUCCCUCGGGCCCAGGUGGAAGCCAGGUCUGCACCCUGCUGGCCCUGCACGGGGCUUGGCAGUACUUGCCUCUGCCUACCUCCUGGACGCCGGCUCAGCCUGUGUCCAGCGUCUCCGGGAGCAGCUCACCCUGGGGGCCCUGCACUGCUCUCCUAGUCCUGAACAGGUUCUGGAGAACAACACGCUUCGGUUCACGUUCGUAUUUGAUGAUUCAUGAAGAAAAGAUGUUUUUCAAAAUUACCAAUGGGAGCUGGGUAUGGUGGCACAAGCUUGUAAUCCCAGCACUCUGGGAGGCGGAGGCGGGAGGAUGGCAUGUUCAAAGCCAAUGUGGGCAGUUAGUGAUGUGGCGAAACCCCUGGCUCAAAAUGAAAAGUAAAAAGGGCUGGGAUGUCGCUCCAUGUGAAGGCCCUGGGGUGCAGUGCUCAGUGGAGCCCGGAAAACUAUAAAAGGAGACCAAGCUAUUGGCUAUCUCCCUUAGAAAGCGUUUGCAGAACGGUGACUGACUCUGACCACUGGGUUGGGCCAUCUCUGACACUGGAAACUGCAGUUCUCUGAUGACCCAGUGGCAGACAGCCGCUGUGAGGCGCUCCAUUCAAGUUCAGAAAAACCAGGUUUCCUGCUCCUAUCACAGGAGAGCUGUUCAGCUAUCGUCACUUUCCCUUUCUGACUUGGCUGUCAGGACACUCAGAACCAAGUUUCAUACUAAAUGACUCUUUUCACUCUCUGGUUUCUAACGUCAACCCAAUCAUUUCUUCUCACUCGGCCCACCAACUCCAUCUUCUUUCAGCCUUGUUCGAUGACCCCCCCGCCCAAGACUGGAGGAAAAACCCAGGGCUUCAAGUGAGUCCAGCCCUUUUUGUUUGGAGUCACGGUCUAAGUUGCCCAGGCUGGUUGUGAAAUUGUAACCUUCCUGCCUCAGCCUCAGGAGUAGAUGGGAUUACAGGCAUGUGCUGCCAGGCCCUUCUAAGGCGUUCUUAAAUCCUUUUCCUAAAGCGCAACUUGAAGAAAGUGGAAUAUUAUUUACCAACCAUCAAAUCUAGGAUAUAUACUCUGGGAGUCGAAAGAGAGCAACUAAUAAUUAAGUUAGGACAGCAGCUUAAACAGAGAACUUUCUGCACAAAAUUAAAAUGUGGUGGCUCCAGGAACAAAUAAUAAACAUCACAGAUAAUGUGUGUCCAUUCCCAGGUGGGGAUAAUUAAAGAUAAACAUGUGCUUCACCCAGGGAACCAAGGUUAAAUUCUGUGCUUCUUAUUUAUCUUGUGUCACAUGUGUUGAUUAGAGUUUAGUAUUUAUUAUCUCUUGGGAAAUUUUGUAAUUAGCCUCUGUAUCGGUAGGGGAAAAUAUUGGGCUCUCUAAAAUGCACUUAGCUCUCCCAAAGGGGAGGGUCCCUUAGCUCUGCAACAGUGAUCACGAGGGAAGUUUCAUUUGUUUGUGAUUUAUGGGAGUCUGUGCUGUUGACCAGUAUCCAAUUUCUAACGACUCCAUCUUGUUUUUCCUGAGCAACUUCUCAUAAACUUUGUAAUGUUUUGUGCAGCAAGCUAAUACUAUGUUCACACCUGUUUACGGAGCUAUUAAUAAAUGCUACGUGCAACUCCAGUAAGAGGGUCAGACUGCUUUCCCUCUCCAUCGGCUGAAAACAAUUUCUUGUCUAUUUUGAAAAAUAUGGGACCACCAAAGUCCUUGAUUAAACUGGGUAUUCUGCAAAGACACCCACUGAGAAGAAAUGGGAUUAGAAAAUUUAACCUAAAGGACUCACAGUCAAAAGGCAAAAAGUGAGCCGGGGGUGGUAGCUCACAUCAGUAAUCCCUGCACUGUGGGAGGCUGAGCCAGGAGGGUCACAAGUUCAAGGCUAGCCUGGGCAACGUGGAACCUAGGGAGACCCUGUCCCAAAACAAACAAAAAAAAUAAAAAGGGGCUGGCGACACAUACAGCUCAGUGUGAAGGUCCUGGGUUCACUUCCUAGUACCACACACACACACACACACACACACACAGUGUGCUGUUAAUCCCUCGGCUGCAAAGGUUUUCAUAAAUGAAGGAAAGUGAAUCUUGGUGUGGCACAGCUGGGCCCAGAGGAAGACUGGAGGUUUGCUUCUGCCGCUCAGAACCCUGCUGUUGCUCAGGCUGCUUCGGCUGAGCCGUCCUGGAGGCCAAGCUUCACGCCAGACCAGACAAGUUCAGGGUCCAAUCGCUACUGGCUAUGCAUUUCCGACCCCGCACCCCUACUGUAUACACAGCUUUCAGCUUGUUCUCAAAAUGACUCUGGAAGGCGAUGGUAGCAUCAGCCCCAUUUCACAGCUGAGAAAAUCCAGGCUUGAGAGCAAGCAGAAGCCAAAGCCAGGGAAGAUGGGAGGACUAAGGUCCCCCCUGCCGACCCCAAGCUCUUCAGUCAGAAGCAGCCCACCCCACACAAGAGCUGGGGCAGGGCCAGGCCCGGAAGAGAAGUGGCUCAGAAGGUCGCACUUACUGGACAGCGACACUGGCCAGUCCCUCCCUUCCCGCAGUGCAUGCCCCGCCCCGCCUCGCCCACCCUGGAGGGGCUGUCUGCUAGGUGCUGGCGCUGUUGCAGGGCGCAGGUUUGCACUCCCUCCAUGCCUUUACCUCGUGCUUCUCAUCACUCUCCCUGCGCAGAUAAAGGCAGGAAAACUCAGGGCUUUGCUCCUUCCUCAGGUCAAGGUUGCCACCAGAGGCUUUUACACCUAGCCCAGGAUUCUUCAUUCCAUUCUGCACUGCACUCCACCAGCAGCGAUGUGAUCCCAAACAAACUCACUCUUAAGGAACAGCCAUCCACUUCCGGUCUCAGGGACAGGGUACAGGGCAGAAGGACCCCAACUGCUUUGAGAGUGCCAUGUCUUGCUCACGGCCUUACCCUCUAGCAAGGGCUUCUCUUCUUCCCUUGCCUCCACCCAACAGGAGUGUGAAGAUUGCUACCUUUCUUCUAUGAAAGCUCUCCCUCACGCAGCAAGAGGACAGCUCAGAACUCACAUCUCUGUCAGUACCGCACUACCAUUUACGAGGGCUUCCUGUGAGCUAAGGAAGUUACACACCAGACCAGUACCUCUCACAACUGAACAGUACUGCUGUUAUUUUUACCUCGAAGAAGAGAAGCCUGAGGUUUCCAGGGUAAAGUCACUGAGUCACUGAGCCCUGGUGGUGGUGAUUUUGACCCAGCUGUGCCUGAACGGCCACGCUGAGGAUCCUAGGGAGACUCAGGAUCCCGUAAAUCCCUCAGGAACCACGCUCCCAGGAGAGGGUGUGACCCAUUCCCAGCUGCUGGUGCAAUGCUGGCCGCAGAACAGCUGCGCCGCUGGCCUGGCCUGGGUGGCACUUGCGGGAUGAGCUGACUCUGUUGGGAAAGUAGCAGGGGGGGAGGCUCUUCUCUGAUCACUUGUUUUUCACGAAACUCUGAGAACAAUCAUUUCUGAAAGACAAAGAAUGGCCUGAGCUGCCAUGAAGCAGAGCCCCGGUCUUGCAUGCCCCUGGAAGGUUUUGUCAGGUAGAACCCUCUGCCCCUCCGAGUGCCGUCCAGGUCCAUGCACACUCCCCUUCCCACCGGCUCUCCUCCCCACCCAUCUCCUGGGCACCGCGUCCUCCCGGCCACCCGGCCACCCGCUGCACAGGGCUUGGCGGCCAGGUGCUCUGGCCAGGCUGUCUUCAGCAGGAGGAGCCCCGCCUUUUCAGACUGGAUGUUUGUGAAGCUGAAUUGACCUGGGGGGUGGGGGCGUUCUACAGAAAACACUGUCUUUCUUCCCGGGUGCCUUUGCUGCUCAUCACAAACAUCUCACAUCAUUUUCUUUUUAAAAAGUCAUUUACUGAGGACUCCAAAUGCAAACUGUUGAGACGCUGCACUCCCGGCAUACUUUGGGAGCCACUGCUAGGUUGACGCCCUGCACUAAGGUCUCCAGCCGCCCUGCCACCCCUCCUCCGGUCCUAACUCAACAUUUGGAUCUCCUUAGACACAUGCUCCCUUGCUAGAUAAUACUGAUACCUUGUUUUAUAUGAACAUUUAUACACCCGGACCCUGGCAAGGGCUGACUUCAUUGGGAUGCUUUAUGGCUUAAUCCUUCAGAAUGAUUUAUACCUCGCUUUGUCUAAGCCUCUAUGCUAAUAAAUUUAACAGAUUCCCCCGGACUGUCUGCUUCUUCGUUGCUUCAGGGAGUCAAAGUGAGAGGAAAAUAAAGGAGCAAGUUGCUAAAGAAAGAAGGAAGAAAUUGGUCCAACGGAUUUGGAACACAAACAAAAUCUUUGAUUACAGCUAAGAUGAAGUAGCAGUCGAGGGGGUAGGGAGAGAAGUCCCCAGAUCCAGGUAGAUUCCUGUAAUUAAUCUAGUUCUCGGAGGGGAAGUCACAAAAGUGACAAAAUAUUUAGCAAGCUAUUUACUAGAGAAUAUUUUGGUCCUAUAUAAUUAAAUCCAAGGCUAAAGGGAAGCUGACAACUAUUAAACAAAGUGCAGUUGGGAAUGGGGAGAAGAUAAAACCUAGUCUAUAAAAUAUACUCCAUUAUCUUUUAUAGGUUAAAAACACAAAAGAAACGCUUGGGAAGAAUUUUCUAAGACGGAAAGAUGUGAAGAUUGCGUGCAGAUUUUUUUUUACAGGUGCAGAAUAAAUUGUGUUUUUUUCCUAUUUUUUUUCUUUUGCCCAUUUUCCCCGUUGUUUGCAAAGUUGAAUCUGGGGUCAGGAGUUCUAAUUGUAACCUCAGACUGGAAUUCCAGAUGGUGUGCGCAGGACUGGAAGCGAGCUCUCAGUUCAUCAAUUUCAUGGGCCUACGUAUUUGCUCGGGCCACGGCCUGGCCUCCAUCCCCGCUGUGGCAUUAAUGCAGAACAAAUUGAGACAUAUCCUCUAUAUAAUUAGUUCCAGAAUUUAAAAAGAUUUACGGUAUAAUAAUAGAAGCAGCGCUGCGGAAUCCUUUCAGUGGGGACUGGCUUGCAGUGGCUUGGGACAGAGCAGCCGGCGGCUGGGGAGAGCGCUCUGCCCGAAGCUCUGCUCCGCUCCUCCCCUGCAGGGCGCCGGGUGGGAGACUGGUGCAGAAGAUGGAGAAGACUCACAAACCCAGAGGGGAAGCUGGGGAAGGGGCUGCCCGGAAACCUCCACCUUGUUUGUUUUAAAAACUGGCUUCAAGAUUCUGAUGCCGGGCUGUAACCUGCACGGGCUGGGAGAUUCCUGCGCCCCGGUGUGGUACGGGUGCUGCCGGAGCAGGGGCCUGGGGCACAGCCAGGGUCAGUCACCCGGUGCCCCAGCAGGCACAGCCAGCCUGGCCUGGGGGUCGCAGUGGGGGGUGGGGAGGAGCGGGGCGCAGACCUGGGGCCGGAUGCAGUGGACCUGGGGUGGAAGUGGGGCGAGGUCCUCACCGCCUGAACCACACCCACAUUCCCCAGUGUGGGGAGUCUCUUGGGUGCCCAUGUGCCCUGCUCCCCUUCCUGUUCCCUGAGCUCUGGAGCGGCCGAGUGGUGGCUAAAGCCACUGCUGGACCAGGUGGGGUCACAGCUUGGCUGCGGUGACUUCGCUAUCCCACCCGGAGAGUGGACAAACUUGAAAAUCGUGAUUUACGGAGAGUUCUGGGCCAACACCUGCUCCCCAGUGCGCAGGGCAGCACCAUGAGACUCCAGCGCGCUUCGCCCAGAGAGGAAGGAAGGAGCAAAGCUGAGCUGAGAGCGGCGGGAAGGUGGAUAGAGGGACGCGCGCGGCUCCCUCCCGCCGCCAGCCUUGGCCCGCGGGGUCUUCUGCGCCUCUAAGCACGCCCUAAACCUUGGAGGGCUUCACCUGCGGCCUGAGCGCCCGGAGCCCAGCGCCGAGCGCCUCCCGCCCGCAGCCAGAAUCUAACAGCGACAGCGUAGACAGCACGCCAGUGAAAACCAAAGCGGUAAAUCCAGGCCACGGAGACGCUGUUCCGGGUUCCGCGCAGUGGGCUUGGCGGAGACCCGCGCGCCCCUCCCGCUAGGCCGGUGCGGAGGCCCGAGCCCCGCGAUUCCCGCCCGCGACUGGCCGUCCCAGGCCGCGCCGUCGCCGACGCCUCUGGAGCUCCGGGGCGUUUCCACGCGCCGCAGACGCACGUCACAGAAACUAAAGCCCAAAGUAAAACCAGCCCCAACCCCUUCCCUGAGGCGCGGGGCGCCGGGUUCUCCUAGCAGGGUUCCGAGCACGCGCGCGCGGCCUCUGCCGCCGGGCCAAGAGCUAGGUCCCGCUUCUCGGUCGCCAGACUAGCAGGAGCCUCCAGGUCGGGCACUGGGCCUCAGUACUGAACCCUGGGCGUGAGCGGAGGGCCGGGCGCCCUUUCUCCCCGGGCUGUGCGCCGAACCUCCUGUUUCCUCUCCUCCCCAACAGGGUGUGGGUGCUGCAGCCCGCACGCACGCAGGCCCAGGGCGGACCCCGGGUUCCCGCUCCCCGAGCCAUUUCCCGGCUUGGCCGUAGCAUAGAUGCACCUCACUCGGGAGGAAGCUAAGUCCCUCAGACUCCGAUUUCAGGUAGGCGGCCACCGGCCUCCUCACCCGGUAACCAGCUACCAGGCGAUCGGUAACGCCCUGCAGGUCUCCCACCCGGGGCGUCUUUGCCUCGGAUCACGACCUCUGGGGCUGACCCCUCCCCAGGGACGUCGAGAUGAAGGCACGGCGGCGCGGAGGCCUCCGAGCUCCGAAAGUGCUUGGACCCCUCCUAAGUUCCGCCCUGGGGGCCCCUCCCCUCCCUCAGCCCCCACCCCCAC